UGGUUUGAUUAUGGCUCAGGAUGAACGCUGGCGGUGUGCCUAACACAUGCAAGUCGAGCGAUUUACUUCGGUAAAGAGCGGCGGACGGGUGAGUAACGCGUGGGUAACCUGCCCUGUACACACGGAUAACAUACCGAAAGGUAUGCUAAUACGAGAUAAAAUACUUUUAUCGCAUGGUAGAAGUAUCAAAGCUUUUGCGGUACAGGAUGGACCCGCGUCUGAUUAGCUAGUUGGUAAGGUAACGGCUUACCAAGGCGACGAUCAGUAGCCGACCUGAGAGGGUGAUCGGCCACAUUGGAACUGAGACACGGUCCAAACUCCUACGGGAGGCAGCAGUGGGGAAUAUUGCACAAUGGGCGAAAGCCUGAUGCAGCAACGCCGCGUGAGCGAUGAAGGCCUUCGGGUCGUAAAGCUCUGUCCUCAAGGAAGAUAAUGACGGUACUUGAGGAGGAAGCCCCGGCUAACUACGUGCCAGCAGCCGCGGUAAUACGUAGGGGGCUAGCGUUAUCCGGAAUUACUGGGCGUAAAGGGUGCGUAGGUGGUUUCUUAAGUCAGAGGUGAAAGGCUACGGCUCAACCGUAGUAAGCCUUUGAAACUGGGGAACUUGAGUGCAGGAGAGGAGAGUGGAAUUCCUAGUGUAGCGGUGAAAUGCGUAGAUAUUAGGAGGAACACCAGUUGCGAAGGCGGCUCUCUGGACUGUAACUGACACUGAGGCACGAAAGCGUGGGGAGCAAACAGGAUUAGAUACCCUGGUAGUCCACGCCGUAAACGAUGAGUACUAGCUGUCGGAGGUUACCCCCUUCGGUGGCGCACCUAACGCAUUAAGUACUCCGCCUGGGAAGUACGCUCGCAAGAGUGAAACUCAAAGGAAUUGACGGGGACCCGCACAAGUAGCGGAGCAUGUGGUUUAAUUCGAAGCAACGCGAAGAACCUUACCUAAGCUUGACAUCCUUUUGACCGAUGCCUAAUCGCAUCUUUCCCUUCGGGGACAGAAGUGACAGGUGGUGCAUGGUUGUCGUCAGCUCGUGUCGUGAGAUGUUGGGUUAAGUCCCGCAACGAGCGCAACCCUUGCCUUUAGUUGCCAGCAUUAAGUUGGGCACUCUAGAGGGACUGCCAGGGAUAACCUGGAGGAAGGUGGGGAUGACGUCAAAUCAUCAUGCCCCUUAUGCUUAGGGCUACACACGUGCUACAAUGGGUGGUACAGAGGGCAGCCAAGUCGUGAGGCGGAGCUAAUCCCUUAAAGCCAUUCUCAGUUCGGAUUGUAGGCUGAAACUCGCCUACAUGAAGCUGGAGUUACUAGUAAUCGCAGAUCAGAAUGCUGCGGUGAAUGCGUUCCCGGGUCUUGUACACACCGCCCGUCACACCACGGAAGUUGGGGGCGCCCGAAGCCACUUAGCUAACCCUUUUGGGAAGCGAGUGUCGAAGGUGAAAUCAAUAACUGGGGUGAAGUCGUAAAAAGGUACCC
rnacentral:rRNA from 1 species